CUGAGCUCUUGGGAGCUCAUCUUCACCUCCUCUUUCUCAAGAACUCAGCCACAUUUUGGGACCCAGGUGUCUCUGCCUGCCAGCCACAAGGAGGCAGAGGAAGAUGCACAGGGAAAACCAUCUCUGGUGCUGGCUGCUUCUGCAGCUCCUGCUUCUAGAAAAGAAGAUAUCUGUCUCUGAGAAAUGCUGUUGAUGGAAUAUUCUACAACCCCCACAACUCUCACCUUGGUCCUGGAGGAUCCCAUAUGACUCCGGGGAGCCCUACUUCUUCCUGGAGGAGACCAGUAGUAACCUCCGAGGUCAUAGCAAUGAAUGGGCUAUGACUAUUGCCGACGAAGCCCAGGAACUCGUCCUUCUGAGGAGACCCGAGCCACUGCUUCUUCUGCAUAACCCUUUCGGAGUCCCUUUCUA
rnacentral:lncRNA from 1 species